UUAUCGACAAUGGUUCCCAAAAUCAUGGACCACAUCCAAACCAUCAACAUAGUAUGGGGCUAGCCCUACUAUGAAGAGAACCUUAAGGGGUCUAUUCUGAGUGUAGCUUUCAUGCCCCUUUGAGAUGUGACAUCUCACCGGUUAACACUAGUUCUACUUCUUAACUCAUAUUUUUUUCUCAAGCUUGGGUUUUCAGCUUCUCACAUAUAACAAUCCCAACCAGUUGAUAUGUAGAUAUAAUAAUAAAAUAAAAUAAAAUAAAAAGUAUACAAUAAAAAAGAAAAAGCAAAAAAAUAAGUAAAAGAAGCCAAAAAAAUAAAUAACAACAACCAAAGAAACACACAAAACCCUAGUAUUAUAAGUUACGAUGGAC
rnacentral:lncRNA from 1 species